UGGGGAAUUUUGGACAAUGGGCGAAAGCCUGAUCCAGCAAUGCCGCGUGUGUGAAGAAGGCCUUCGGGUUGUAAAGCACUUUUGUCCGGAAAGAAAUCCUCUGGGUUAAUACCUCGGGGGGAUGACGGUACCGGAAGAAUAAGCACCGGCUAACUACGUGCCAGCAGCCGCGGUAAUACGUAGGGUGCAAGCGUUAAUCGGAAUUACUGGGCGUAAAGCGUGCGCAGGCGGUUUUGUAAGACGGAUGUGAAAUCCCCGGGCUUAACCUGGGAACUGCAUUCGUGACUGCAAGGCUAGAGUAUGGCAGAAGGGGGUAGAAUUCCACGUGUAGCAGUGAAAUGCGUAGAGAUGUGGAGGAAUACCGAUGGCGAAGGCAGCCCCCUGGGCCAAUACUGACGCUCAUGCACGAAAGCGUGGGGAGCAAACAGGAUUAGAUACCCUGGUAGUCCACGCCCUAAACGAUGUCAACUAGUUGUUGGGGAUUCAUUUCCUUAGUAACGUAGCUAACGCGUGAAGUUGACCGCCU
rnacentral:rRNA from 1 species